rnacentral:rRNA from 1 species
AGGCAAUGGUUGCUGGACUGGAUAGCUAAAGCGCCGUCCUUCCAUUCUACAAUUUUGGCGGUGGCUAUGUGGCAUAUAUGGGAGAACAGGAACAACCAUCGUAACGGUGAGACACUGCUUAAUCCUCUUCGUGUGGUGGGGAAAAUCAAGGCCUAUAUUGAAUUCAUGAACUUAUGUAAUGACAACCCACCAAACUCCUACAGGCGUGAGACUUCUACAUCAACUCAAAAAUGGUCUCCGCCAUCAGAGGGAUGGUUGAUGAUCAACGUCGAUGCUGCCAUCUUCUCCCACUCGGGACGAGCUGGCUAUGGAGUUGUAGUUCGAGAUCAUCUAGGGGCACCCGUGGCAGCAUACCGAGGCUGGUUUGAUCACACCCAAAGUCCUGAAGUGGCAGAAGCUCUUGCUGCAUGUCAGGCCUUAGUCCUUGCUAAAAAUGCUGGAUUUCAGAAGAUUCAGGUAGCCUCUAAUUGCUUGACGCUAAUCAACAAGCUGCAAGGUACAGGCCUAGACAGAUCCCCUAUUGGUGCCAUUGUCCAGGAUAUUAAAUCUGCUGCUACUAUGUUUUUAGCUUGUGAUUUUAAUCAUGUAAAACGUUGCUGUAAUGAGGCAGCCCAUGUCCUUGCAAAAUCUGCAGAAUAUAAUGUUGAAUCUAGCUGGUUUAAUGUGUAUCCUCAUGAGAUCAGGACCAUUAUAUGUAAUCAACAAGUCAUGUAUGAAUGA